GACGAACGCUGGCGGCGUGCUUAACACAUGCAAGUCGAACGGAAAGGCCCUUCGGGGUACUCGAGUGGCGAACGGGUGAGUAACACGUGGGUGAUCUGCCCUGCACUUUGGGAUAAGCCUGGGAAACUGGGUCUAAUACCGAAUAUGACCGCGCUCUUCAUGGGGUGUGGUGGAAAGCUUUUGCGGUGGGGGAUGGGCCCGCGGGCUAUCAGGUUGUUGGGGGGGUAAUGGCCUACCAAGGCGACGAAGGGUAGCCGGCCUGAGAGGGGGACGGGCCACACUGGGACUGAGAUACGGCCCAGACUCCGACGGGAGGCAGCAGUGGGGAAUAUUGCACAAUGGGCGCAAGCCUGAUGCGGCGACGCCGCGUGAGGGAUGACGGCCUUCGGGUUGUAAACCUCUUCCAAUAGGGACGAAGCGCAAGUGACGGUACCUAUAGAAGAAGGACCGGCCAACUACGUGCCAGCAGCCGCGGUAA
rnacentral:rRNA from 1 species